rnacentral:rRNA from 1 species
UACAGAGGUCUCAAGCGUUGUCCGGAUUUAUUGGGCGUAAAGAGCGUGUAGGCGGCUUGGCAAGUCUGCUGUGAAAACUCGAGGCUCAACCUCGAGCUGUCGGUGGAAACUGCUUGGCUAGAGUCCGGAAGAGGAGAGUGGAAUUCCUGGUGUAGCGGUGAAAUGCGCAGAUAUCAGGAAGAACACCUAUGGCGAAGGCAGCUCUCUGGGACGGUACUGACGCUGAGACGCGAAAGCGUGGGGAGCGAACAGG